GAUGAACGCUAGCGGCAGGCCUAACACAUGCAAGUCGAGGGGUAGAACACUUCGGUGUUUGAGACCGGCGCACGGGUGCGUAACGCGUAUGCAAUCUACCUUAUACAGGGGAAUAGCCCAGAGAAAUUUGGAUUAAUGCCCCAUAGUAUUACGAAAUCGCAUGGUUUUGUAAUUAAAGUUCCAACGGUAUAAGAUGAGCAUGCAUCCCAUUAGUUAGUUGGUAAGGUAACGGCUUACCAAGACAAUGAUGGGUAGGGGUCCUGAGAGGGAGAUCCCCCACACUGGUACUGAGACACGGACCAGACUCCUACGGGUGGCUG
rnacentral:rRNA from 1 species